rnacentral:rRNA from 1 species
CGAAGGGUGCAAGCGUUACUCGGAAUUACUGGGCGUAAAGCGUGCGUAGGUGGUGAGUUAAGUCUGUCGUGAAAGCCCCGGGCUCAACCUGGGAGUGGCGAUGGAUACUGGCUCGCUAGAGUGCGGUAGAGGAGAGUGGAAUUCCCGGUGUAGCAGUGAAAUGCGUAGAGAUCGGGAGGAACAUCAGUUGCGAAGGCGGCUCUCUGGACCAGCACUGACACUGAGGCACGAAAGCGUGGGGAGCAAACAGGAUUAGAUACCCUGGUAGUCCACGCCCUAAACGAUGCGAACUGGACGUUGGGAGCAAUCAGGCUCUCAGUGUCGAAGCUAACGCGUUAAGUUCGCCGCCUGGGGAGUACGGUCGCAAGACUG